rnacentral:rRNA from 1 species
GAUGAACGCUGGCGGCGUGUUUAAUACAUGCAAGUCGAACGGUGCUGUGGGGGCUUGCUCCUACAGUAUAGUGGCGGACGGGUGAGUAACGCGUGAGCAACCUGCCCUUCGGUGGGGGACAACAGUUGGAAACGACUGCUAAUACCGCAUAACGUGCGAUGGCGGCAUCGCCGACGCACCAAAGAUUUAUCGCCGAGGGAUGGGCUCGCGUCUGAUUAGCUUGUUGGUAGGGUAAUGGCCUACCAAGGCGACGAUCAGUAGCCGGACUGAGAGGUUGAUCGGCCACAUUGGGACUGAGAUACGGCCCAGACUCCUACGGGAGGCAGCAGUAGAGAAUAUUGGGCAAUGGGGGCAACCCUGACCCAGCAACGCCGCGUGAAGGACAGAAGGCUUUCGAGUUGUAAACUUCUUUGACGGGGGACGAAUCAAGUGACGGUACCCCGAAAACAAGCCACGGCUAACUACGUGCCAGCAGCCGCGGUAAUACGUAGGUGGCAAGCGUUAUCCGGAUUUAUUGGGUGUAAAGGGCGCGUAGGCGGAGUCUCAAGUCUGGCGUGCAAUCUCGGGGCUUAACCCCGAAACUGCGCUGGAAACUGUGGCUCUUGAGUGAUGGAGAGGCAGGCGGAAUUCCUAGUGUAGCGCUGAGACGCGUAAGCGUGGGGAGCAAACAGGAUUAGAUACCCUGGUAGUCCACGCUGUAAACGAUGAAUACUAGGUGUGGGGGGACUGACCCCCUCUGUGCCGGAGUUAACACAAUAAGUAUUCCACCUGGGGAGUACGGCCGCAAGGCUGAAACUCAAAGGAAUUGACGGGGCCCCGCACAAGCAGUGGAUUAUGUGGUUUAAUUCGAUGCUACACGAAGAACCUUACCAGGGCUUGACAUGGAGAUGACCGCUGUAGAGAUACAGCUUCCCUUUCGAGGGCAUCUCACACAGGUGGUGCAUGGUUGUCGUCAGCUCGUGUCGUGAGAUGUUGGGUUAAGUCCCGCAACGAGCGCAACCCCUGUUGCUAGUUGCUACGCGAGAGCACUCUAGCGAGACUGCCGUUGACAAAACGGAGGAAGGAGGGGACGAUGUCAAAUCAUCAUGCCCUUUAUGUCCUGGGCUACACACGUAAUACAAUGGCGUUUAACAAUGGGAAGCGAAGCCGCGAGGCGGAGCGAAUCCCCAAAAGGCGUCUCAGUUCAGAUCGUAGGCUGCAACUCGCCUGCGUGAAGUCGGAAUUGCUAGUAAUCGCGGAUCAGCUAGCCGCGGUGAAUACCGUUCCCGGGCCUUGUACACACCGCCCGUCACGCCAUGAGAGCCGGGAACACCCGAAGCCUGUGAGCUAACCGCAAGGGGGCAGCAGUCGAAGGUGGGUUUGGUAAUUAGGGUG